CAGCAGCAGCCGCGGGAAUACGGAGGGUGCAAGCGUUAAUCGGAAUUACUGGGCGUAAAGCGCACGCAGGCGGUCUGACAAGUCAGAUGUGAAAUCCCCGGGCUUAACCUGGGAACUGCAUUUGAAACUGUCAGGCUGGAGUCUUGUAGAGGGGGGUAGAAUUCCAGGUGUAGCGGUGAAAUGCGUAGAGAUCUGGAGGAAUACCGGUCGCGAAGGCGGCCCCCUGGACAAAGACUGACGCUCAGGUGCGAAAGCGUGGGGAGCAAACAGGAUUAGAUACCCCGGUAGUCCCUGUCUCUUAUAC
rnacentral:rRNA from 1 species